rnacentral:rRNA from 1 species
UUCUACGACCAUGUCACCCUGAAUGUGCCCAAUCUCGUCUGAUCUCGGAAGCUAAGCAGGAUCGGGCUUGGUUAGUACUUGGAUGGGAGACCACAUAGGAAGACCAGGUGCUGUAGGUA